rnacentral:rRNA from 1 species
CCCUUAGAUGUUCUGGGCCGCACGCGCGCUACACUGAUGCAUUCAACGAGCCUAUCCUUGACCGACAGGUCCGGGUAAUCUUUGAAUCUACAUCGUGACGGGGAUAGAUUAUUGCAAUUAUUAAUCUUCAACGAGGAAUGCCUAGUAGGCGCAAGUCAUCAGCUUGCGUCGAUUACGUCCCUGCCCUUUGUACACACCGCCCGUCGCUCCUACCGAUUGAAUGCUCAGGUGAGCCAUUCGGACUUUCAUCAUGCUGGUUUCCAGUUUUGAUGAAGGAAAGUCUUGCGAACCUUAUCAUUUAGAGGAAGGAGAAGUCGUAACA